CGAGGCUUAAUAAGACUGAUUGCGGACGUAGUAAAUGCAAUUUCAUAGGUUUUAUUAUAAAUAAAAGUGAAAGUUUAUCUUAAUUCCAGAAACUAUUCAAAUUCACGUUAAUCUACUCAAGUAAGAUGAUAAACUAGGAUUAGAUACCCUACUAUUCUUACCUCCCGUUGCCAGGGUAGUAAAAGAAAAUCUUCAAACCCAAAGAAUUGACGGCAUCUCAUCCUUACCAGAGGAACCUGUCCCUUAAUCGAUAGUCCACGUUUUACCUCACCCUUUUUCAUAAAGUUUGUAUACCGCCGUUGCCAGAUGAUUCUUAAAAGAUAUCAUCUAAACUAAUUAUUUUAACAACUUCAGGUCAAGGUGCAGCUUAUAAAAGGGAGGAGAUGGGUUACAUUAACCAUAAGUUAUACGGAAGAAAAAUGAAAAAUUAACUAAAGGUGGAUUUGAAAGUAAAUUUAUUUCAUCUAAAUAAAUUGAAAAAAGCUCUGAGAUGUGUACACAUCGCCCGUCGCU
rnacentral:rRNA from 1 species